GACGAACGCUGGCGGCGUGCCUAAUACAUGCAAGUCGAACGCAGUGGGGACGGGUGAGUAACACGUUGGUAACCUCCCAUCAGAGGGGAUAACACUUGGCAACAGGUGCUAAACCGAUACUGAUGGAUGGACCCGCGGGGCAUGAGCUAGUUGGUGGGGUAACGGCUCACCAAGGCCAAGAUGCAUAGACGACCGGAGAGGGUGAUCGGCGACACUGGGACUGAGACACGGCCCAGACUCCUACGGGAGGCAGCAGUAGGGAAUCUUCGGCAAUGGACGAAAGUCUGACCGAGCAACGCCGCGUGAGUGAAGAAGGUUUUCGGAUCGUAAAACUCUGUUGUUAGAGAAGCGGUAGCUAACCAGAAAGCAACGGCUAACUACGUGCCAGCAGCCGCGGUAAUAC
rnacentral:rRNA from 1 species